rnacentral:rRNA from 1 species
GACGAACGCUGGCGGCGUGCUUAACACAUGCAAGUCGAACGGUGAAGCGCCUUCCUUUUUGGUGGGUGUGGAUGAGUGGCGAACGGGUGAGUAACACGUGAGUAACCUGCCCCCUUCUUCUGGAUAACCGCAUGAAAGUGUGGCUAAUACGGGAUAUUCUGGGUCUGUCGCAUGAUGGGUCUGGGAAAGAUAUUGUUUCGGUGGGGGAUGGGCUCGCGGCCUAUCAGCUUGUUGGUGGGGUGAUGGCCUACCAAGGCGGUGACGGGUAGCCGGCCUGAGAGGGUGGACGGUCACACUGGGACUGAGACACGGCCCAGACUCCUACGGGAGGCAGCAGUGGGGAAUAUUGCACAAUGGGCGCAAGGCUGAUGCAGCGACGCCGCGUGAGGGAUGGAGGCCUUCGGGUUGUGAACCUCUUUCGCCAGUGAAGCAGGCCUGCCUCGUUUGUGGGUGGGUUGACGGUAGCUUGAUAAGAAGCGCCGGCUAACUACGUG